CUCAGAUUGCUUACUCAGCAACCAGCAUGGAUCUGAGUGACAAGACUCUGUUCAAAUAUUUCAUGAGGGUUGUGCCUUCAGAUGCUCAGCAGGCAAGGGCCAUGGUGGACAUAGUGAAGAGGUACAACUGGACCUAUGUAUCAGCCGUGCACACAGAAGGUAGAGGGACAAAGAAGGAAGAGAUGCGUAAGAGGGAUCAGACAUUGAUGUUAUCUUUUAUGAGGUUCAAGCUAUUCUCAUGCCUCAGCCUCCAGAGGAGCUAGGAUUACAGGCAUGUACCACACCCAGGAAGUUAUACAGAUACACGUUCCUCUGAACUUCGCCAAUACUUACAGUAUUGUACAAUACUUAUUUGUGACUUCUCAUCAACACCCCAACUGGUUAGAUGCUGUUAUUUUUACUGGUUGUAUAUUAAGACAAUAAAAAAUUUCGUACUUGGGUAGCAAAGAA
rnacentral:lncRNA from 1 species